UAUAUAUACCUGCUCUCAUUGCUGCACAAGCUGGCAGACUAAAUGCGUACGAUUUAAGCUCGUCUC
rnacentral:tRNA from 1 species